UACGUAGGGGGCAAGCGUUGUCCGGAUUUAUUGGGCGUAAAGCGCGCGUAGGUGGCCUCGUAAGUCCGCUGUGAAAGUCAAAGGCUCAACCUUUGAAAGCCGGUGGAUACUGUGAGGCUAGAGUACGGAAGAGGCGAGUGGAAUUCCUGGUGUAGCGGUGGAAUGCGCAGAUAUCAGGAGGAACACCAAUAGCGAAGGCAGCUCGCUGGGACGUUACUGACACUGAGGCGCGAAAGCGUGGGGAGCGAACAGG
rnacentral:rRNA from 1 species